UUGUUCCAGGCCCUUUUUUUCUUUGCUGAUUUUACUUUGUAUCCUUUCACUGUAAUAAACCAUAACCGUGAGUACAACCACAAGCUGAGCCCUGUGAGUCCUCCUAGCAAAUCCCUGAAACUGGAAGUGGUCUUGGGGACCCUCAGCACAUUCUCUGCCACCAUGAGACUUUGAUAUGGUGGCAUCUCAGAUUCAGAAUGGAUGGUAGAGCCUACAAGAUAAGACUGGAGGAAAGCCAGAAAAGAUGAAACUCAGAACUCACUUAUCUUCACUUCUUUCUUCUUUCUUUCUUCUCCUUCCUACCAUUGCCUGAGUCUGGAAGGGGGAUCACAUUAUUUACACUGCCACUAUAUCAAAAUUUACUCCCUAAGGCAGCCUUCUCCCCUGCAUACUAAAUAAGGAGAUAAAUGCACUCAAGCAAGCAAGCAUUACCUGGAUUCCACGAGGUGAAAAAUAGCAUGGAGACCAUCACAAAGGAGAUCUGCCUCGAGGAAACUAUCAGACUGGCCCAGGAUGGAGAAUGAAGACAGCAAUUUGCUCUGUUCUCUAAAGCUCUGAUUCAAGUUCUCUAGUCUGCCGAAAAUAAAUAAAUAAAUAAUUUGACAUGAAAGAA
rnacentral:lncRNA from 1 species